rnacentral:rRNA from 1 species
UCAAGUAGGGAUACCCGCUGAACUUAAGCAU